ACCUAGGAUCGAUCCCUCAUUCCCACAGCAGAUCGGUCUCCACCGCCAACCAAACCUUCGCACGCCCGAUCCAGCCCUACGCCCCCUCCGCGGCCGAUCCAUCCCUGUGCCGCGGCCGAUCCAUGCCCUAUGCCGCCGCCACCGAUGCCUCCUCCUCCACCUCCAUUCCCAAGCGACGGGUACCUUCUUCUGGUGGAGGCCACACCAGAUCCCAUCGUUGCCGCCCUCGCACUCGCAUCCCUCCACCGCCGCCCUCGCACAUCAAGCCACCGCAGAUCCAUCCAUUUGCCGCCGCCCUCGCACAUGGAGCCGCCGCCGAUCCCUGCGCUACCUCGACGGGAGCCAUCGAUCGUCUCACUACAACUUGAAGCUGCAACUUGGGCGGUGCCAUGGCUCCUUGUGCAGAGAAAUCAAGAGGGGGCGAGGUCAGGGAGGAGCUGCGGGAGGAGUGAAGGAAAAGAAGGCGACGGAGAAGGCUCUGCUCGCCGGAGAGCUCGAUCGGCAGCGACGAACUCCGAGCCGCAUGUUCUGGCGACGGAGGGCUGGAACCGGUCCAUGGGGAGACCUGUAGGCGCGCGGCGGCGGCGGUUUGGGACGGCGGAGAAGCUGCAACUCGGACGGCGCCAUGGCUUCCUAUGCAGAGAAAACGAGACGAGGGGGAGGUCAGGGAGGAGCAGCAGGAGGAGUGAAGAAAAAAGGCGACGGAGAAGGCCUUGCUCGCCGGAGAGCUCGACUGGCACCGACGCUCGCUGUAGCGGGAGUAUGCUCGGGCGUACCGGCAUGAGAGCUGCAGUUGGUGGGAAUUGGCUGCAGGCAUAGGAACCGUGGAUUGAUCCCACGUACACAAAGCACUUCUCGGCUCUACGAAAUCCAUGGCUCAAGUGCGUGUCCCGGGGUCCGAGCCUCUAUCACUUCUUCAGUUCUGGCUUGCUUCAAGAACAAAAAAUUUCUGUGUGGAAGACCACUAGCAGAACUGAAUGUUGUAUGCACCUUCAUCUUGCAGUCCAAUUACUUGGAUUAUUUGGGACAAAUUCCUUUCUUUUUAACCGUACUACAGUUAUAUAGCAGGAUAACGAUACAUGCUUGUACUGCCUCUAUCAUAAAUUGCACAUGAGUUGAUUCCAAGUUUAGACAGCUAGCAAUCAAUUGCUCUGAAGGUAUUGCUCUUUUAUUUUAUUUCCGAUCAUGAGGAAAUGGGUUCAGAUAUGUGACUACCCUAUGUUGUACUAACUAUUCUAUGUUGUACUGACUAUUCUAUGCGACCACCAACAGCAAGGGUUCUCUCAAGUGAGAUCCCCUCCUUUCAAUUUGUUCCCCUUCAUUCCCCUAUUAGCGUGUGUCAGCUAUUUUUCUUGUAUAAACUCUAGCAGAGGGAAUAAAUCUUGGUGAUGGAUUUACCUUGACGGAAGAUGAUUUACAGAUUUUAUUUUUAAAUUAUGUGUUCCACUGAACUUCUUUCACCGCACUGUCUCCAACACUGUAGCGGCUUGCUCGAAUCGUCCACCACCGACCGCCGCUGGCGCAAGCUGAAACUCACCCGGGGGAGCACUGGCUGGCGCAACAGUGGCGGCGAGGACCAGGUCAAGGCUUCGCAAUAAGCGCCGGAUCAAGCCAUGAAACAUGUUGACGGAUUAGUUUUCCACCUCAUGUUUACUUCACCAUGUAGUUGGGUGUAACGUGAGUUCUGCUCUUCUUCUAGGCUGUUGGGAGGAGCGACCCUGCCAUCACGUGGAGAACAAGCGGCUCUUGGUGCUCGACAAGGUGCCUAAGCAAGGCAUAUUAGUGGAUGUGGCUCGACCCUGAACUUGCUUUCCCCAAAUUUGUUCAGUGAGUAGUGCUAUCAUAUUCUCCUUGCUCUUAUCAUGGAUAGAUUUGGAGUUGGGUCUUUUUAGUUCUCGCGUUCGGACCACAAUGAUUGGGGGAGUGGAGAUUGGCAUGAAUAAUUGCAAUUUUUAACACAAGAUCAGACAAUGAAGGAUUUGUUAUCAAGAUAUCAAAAGUUGCUCAUAUCAACUGGAAAUAUAGUUUUUUUUGCAUAUGAAAAUAGACUGUCAAUGUAUAUUAUUUGGCUCAAUAAAUUGCAUUGUGAAUCACUUCGAAUUGUUUGUAACAAUGAACAUUUUUUCAUACAACACCUUAAUAUGUAGCUUAUAAGGCUUUUAGUUUGUGAAUAAUUUGUUCAAAGAGUCACACUGUAUCAUCACACAAGGCAACGAUAUAUUAAGGUGAAGACUUUGUCAUCUAUACUUGUUGAUACUUUUUCAAUUAUGCUUACCUUGCAUCCUUUCUGUUAACAGUUUAGAAAUAUAGUUAUGUUCAUUGAUUUCUUAUACAGUUAUCCCACGUCAGUAUAGGUUGUGGAGGAUCGUAUAGUGUUUUCUUUAAUUGCGGAUCAGGUGUCGUUCACUUUUGCAAGGAUACGCCAGUAAGAUAUCUAGCAUUUCCUUCAUGUGGUUGCAUCAUUUUUUAAACCAUGUAAGUUUUGAGUGAAACUAUACUAUCUGUUAACACAAGGAUAAGAAAGAAUGGAAUUGCUUGUAAGCAUUCUUCUUGAGAUAGAGACUUUCUGUGUAGUUUGCUGCAAGUGUUUAAAUCUAAAUUUCAGUUUGAGAUAUACAACCGGCAAUCUAAGGUCAAUACUGCUGCUCAGACAAUCUAGAUAUGUCAACAAAAUUUCUUUGGAAACUCGUACAAAAGCUUAAGAAUAUGCCUGCUACUUGGGGAUAUUGUGGUGUUAAAUGACCUAAAUCUCUCUUCACAUAUAUCACAAUCCGAUACGGUGUUUGACAAAACCCGAAAUUUUUUGGAACAAAAAAGGUUGUGCUAGCAAGGAAAUUCACUUCAGCUCAAGACUUGAUAAGGCAUGUGGCGACCCUAGGAGGUGUUGUUGUGCUCACUCGCAUACCAUAUAUCCAGAGUUAAAGUUGUUUGCGUGUUUUCUAUGGCUAAGGUAUUUUGAAUAUAUCAGGUUGUUAAUGUUUGUUUGUAGCCUGAACCUUGCAGAUGGUCUCUAUGCUUUAGCUAUAAUUUUUUUCUCGUGCCGACAGUGGUAACACAUGAAAGAUCCAGAAAGAUUUUGAAGCGGCGUAGAUCGAGCCGGUUCAUACUAUUGCCUUCCAAGGCCUUGAAGGAGAUCAUAUAUGUUUGGCUACUGACAUGACAAGAAUUUCAGCAAAAAGUUGUGGAUUUCACAGGAAAACAGAGCAGGUCAUGGUGGAUGAAGAGAACAUUAACCGACAGACUUUCGUUGUCGAUUAAAGGAAAACUUGAUCAAUUUCAUGGGAAGUAAAGCAGGGACUACACGAGAAUUCGAGCACAGGCACUUAAAAGCAUAAGAGGGCUCCUGCAGUGACACUACUAUUUUUGCAGGUGAAACAACAACCAAGUUUCCAAGUCAUCUUUCAUGUUACUGCUUUAAAUACCUAAAUUAUGGUUUCACCUUCCCUUUUUGUUGUCAUUCAUGCGAGCUGCGUUUUUGCUGCUUGGAUCUCCAGGUUGUGGGAAAACACUAAUGAUAAUUUAUUUUGACAUUUCCAUAUUCUUUCUACCUAAUUUUUGUUCUGUAUAAACUGUGCAAUGUUUCCUUUUCUAGAACUUUAGGUGCCUGAUCAAUUGAACAAGUAUAUUGGGGAGAGUGAACCAGGAGUAAGGAAAAUAUGAACCCGUGCAAGCACUAACUCACCAUACAUCCUUUUUUUGGAGAGAUGAGGGAUUCUCCGGUGGCAACCAAGAGGAAGGAUGGCACCGAUGGAGCACGACGGCUGCGGCUCCGAGCAGGGCAAGUACCUUAUCUGCGAUCUUGGAUUGGGCUGUGUGAGGAGCAACGGGUCAUGGUGAUUUUGGUGACGGAGGGAGAUCCGUGCUGCCAGCGCCGCCAUGGCCCUGAAUGCCCGCAAGUAGUCCGUCGAUCUGGUACUACACGACCUCUGCUCUCUUCUUGUCCCUCUAGGUUUGGGUGCAAGGAUAGCCCAGGGGUGGUGGUUCUUGGGGAAAUUCAAAGCUUGGGCCUUUACGGAGUAGGACUGAUCUACAUCUUUAGGAGUUGUUGCUUUAGAUUGGUUUCAUGUACAGGUUGCUAUGUGAGGAUUUUUUGUGUACUGUUCAAAUCUCAAAAAAAAAAAUAUGGCCCAUUCUGACCAUAACUAUUCCAAAAACAUUUAUAGGCUUGUUUGAAAAUCAAGAUUACUGAAUAUGGAUCUCA